rnacentral:tRNA from 1 species
CGUCCCGUGGGCGGCGGCGAGGGCGUCCGCCGCCUCGGCGCGGCGGCCCCACACCCCGCUCAGCUCGACGCCGGGGUGGGCGGC